UGGGGAAUAUUGCACAAUGGGCGAAAGCCUGAUGCAGCGACGCCGCGUGAGGGAUGACGGCCUUCGGGUUGUAAACCUCUUUCAGCAGGGAAGAAGCGAAAGUGACGGUACCUGCAGAAGAAGCGCCGGCUAACUACGUGCCAGCAGCCGCGGUAAUACGUAGGGCGCAAGCGUUGUCCGGAAUUAUUGGGCGUAAAGAGCUCGUAGGCGGUUAGUCGCGUCUGCUGUGAAAACUCGAGGCUCAACCUCGGGCUUGCAGUGGGUACGGGCUGACUAGAGUGCGGUAGGGGUGACUGGAAUUCCUGGUGUAGCGGUGGAAUGCGCAGAUAUCAGGAGGAACACCGAUGGCGAAGGCAGGUCACUGGGCCGCAACUGACGCUGAGGAGCGAAAGCAUGGGGAGCGAACAGGAUUAGAUACCCUGGUAGUCCAUGCCGUAAACGUUGGGCACUAGGUGUGGGGUCCAUUCCACGGAUU
rnacentral:rRNA from 1 species